GAAAGACCGGUACAAGCGAGGUAGGAGAAGAGUUGGCAAAUCCGCUCUUUAAUCUGAAGACGUGAUGUGGACUGAAAAUAAGUAGGGAAGCACGUGAGCUGACUGUCAAGAAAAGCCGCUAUUGUUUGCAGGAUACCCGUUCCGUAAACCGACACAGGUGGAUGAGGAGAGAAUCCUAAGGCCGACGGGAGAAGCAUUGUUAAGGAACUCGGCAAAAUGACUCCGUAACUUCGGGAGGAGGAGUGCCAGUAAGAUGGCCGCAGAGAAUUGGCCCAAGCAACUGUUUAGCAAAAACACAGGUCUAUGCAAAACCGAAAGGUGAGGUAUAUGGGCUGACGCCUGCCCGGUGCUGGAAGGUUAAGGGGAGAGGUUAGCGCAAGCGAAGCUUUGAACUUAAGCCCCAGUAAACGGCGGCCGUAACUAUAACGGUCCUAAGGUAGCGAAAUUCCUUGUCGGGUAAGUUCCGACCCGCACGAAAGGCGUAAUGAUUUGGGCACUGUCUCAACAAUGCACCCGUUGAAAUUGAAAUACCAGUGAAGAUGCUGGUUACCUGCGCCAGGACGGAAAGACCCCAUGGAGCUUUACUCCAGCUUGAUACUGGGAUUCGGUAUUGCAUGUACAGGAUUGGUGGGAGGCUAGGAAAUGGUAACGCCAGUUGCCAUGGAGCCAAUGUUGGGAUACCACCCUUGCAGUACUGGGUUUCUAACCAGCAGCCGUGAUCCGGCUGGGGGACAAUGUCAGGUGGGGAGUUUGACUGGGGCGGUCGCCUCCGAAAGGGUAUCGGAGGCGCUCAAAGGUUCCCUCAGAAUGGUUGGAAACCAUUCGAAGAGUGCAAAGGCAGAAGGGAGCUUGACUGCGACACCGACGGGUGGAGCAGGUACGAAAGUAGGACUUAGUGAUCCGGUGGUAUAAAGUGGGAUUGCCAUCGCUCAACGGAUAAAAGCUACCCUGGGAUAACAGGCUUAUCACUCCCAAGAGUUCACAUCGACGGGGUGGUUUGGCACCCGAUGUCGGCUCAUCGCAUCCUGGGGCUGAAGUAGGUCCCAAGGGUUGGGCUGUUCGCCCAUUAAAGCGGUACGCGAGCUGGGUUCAGAACGUCGUGAGACAGUUCGGUCCCUAUCCGGCGUGGGCGUAAGAUAUUUGAGAGGAGCUGUCCUUAGUACGAGAGGACCGGGAUGGACUGGCCGCUGGUGUAUCUGUUGUCUUACCAAAGGCAUAGCAGAGUAGCCAAGCCGGGAAGGGAUAAACGCUGAAGGCAUCUAAGCGUGAAGCCCCCCUCAAGAUGAGAUAUCUCAUAACGUCAAGUUAGUAAGACCCCUUGAAGACGACGAGGUAGAUAGGGCAGAGGUGGAAGUGUGGUAACACAUGGAGCUGACUGUUACUAAUAGGUCGAGGGCAUAACCG
rnacentral:rRNA from 1 species